GCUCCUGUAGUCUAGUGGCCAAGGAUACCGCCCUCUCGAAUUGCCGGAGGUGAGGUCGAUGAGACUGUACCCCAGUCCUCUCUAGGACAGGCAUUUUUAUUUUGCCGUUGUCUCAUAUUGAGCGAUGGAGAACGGCGGAGACCCGGGUUCAAAUCCCGGCAGGAGCA
rnacentral:tRNA from 1 species